UCCCCAUGACUUUUUAGUCUUCUAGUAGUUGGAUAAUGUGAUCAGUUGCUUUUCUAGAUUUCACAUUUGUGUUUCUUCAUUUUCAAGCCUCAUUUUGUUUGUUAAGAAAUACAAAGUUACAAUGUAGAUGAAGAGAAAGUAAGAAUUCUGAUGUGGAGAAAAAAGCUCUAAUUGGAAAUGGAGAAUGGAAGCGUACUAGCUCUCAAAAUGCAAGUGCUACAAGCUGUUCAGGACUCUCAGUCAUGGACAAUGGACCAUUAGCAUAGGAUGGUUCAAUCCUUCCAGGGGCUUUUCUCAGUACAUAUAUGAUAUGUCCUAGAUUAGUGAUUCAUUGAUUAAUUUAUGAAUUUUGACAGCUGACUCUUUGCAGAUUGUAGUCCUUUGUUUGUUUAUUGAAUCUUGUUUUUUUCUCAAUUUUAUGGUAGUUAAUGCAGUCCAUUAAACUUCAUGCUCCAUAAUUUUUUGGAUAAGAAUUUAGCAAAAAUUUCUGAAAACUUUGGAAAAAUAAACUAUCUGGAUAUCUUAGAUAUUUGGCCUUUCUGGUGGAGUAUAAUCCGAGAUCAUCCUAAUUCCUAUUUUUAUCCCUCCCCCCCCCCCCCCCCCCC